rnacentral:rRNA from 1 species
GAUGAACGCUGGCGGCAUGCCUAAUACAUGCAAGUCGAACGGACUGAAGAAUGUGCUUGCACAAUCUAAAGUUAGUGGCGAACGGGUGAGUAACACGUGGGUAACCUGCCCAUUCGAUAGGGAUAACCGUUGGAAACGACGACUAAUACCUAAUAGGUUAAUAUAAGGCAUCUUAUAUUAAUUAAAGUUGCGUUCGCAACACGAAUGGAUGGACCCGCGGUGCAUUAGCUAGUUGGUGGGGUAAAGGCCUACCAAGGCGAUGAUGCAUAGCCGACCUGAGAGGGUGAACGGCCACAUUGGGACUGAGACACGGCCCAAACUCCUACGGGAGGCAGCAGUAGGGAAUUUUCGGCAAUGGGCGCAAGCCUGACCGAGCAAUGCCGCGUGAGUGAUGACGCAAUUCGUUGUGUAAAGCUCUGUUAUAAGGGAAGAAUAAGAUAGAAAGGAAAUGAUCUAUCGAUGACGGUACCUUAUCAGAAAGCCACGGCUAACUACGUGCCAGCAGCCGCGGUAAUACGUAGGUGGCAAGCGUUAUCCGGAAUUAUUGGGCGUAAAGGGUGCGCAGGCGGUAAGGUAAGUUUGAGGUAAAAGGCUACGGCUCAACCGUAGUAUGCCUUGAAAACUGCCAUACUAGAGUGCGGGAGAGGAUGAUGGAAUUCCAUGUGUAGCGGUAAAAUGCGUAGAUAUAUGGAGGAACACCGGUGGCGAAGGCGAUCAUCUGGACCGUAACUGACGCUCAAGCACGAAAGCGUGGGGAGCAAAUAGG